GAUGAACGCUGGCGGCGUGCUUAACACAUGCAAGUCGAACGGGAAACCUUUUAUUGAAGCUUCGGCAGAUUUCGCUGGUUUCUAGUGGCGGACGGGUGAGUAACGCGUGGGUAACCUGCCUUAUACAGGGGGAUAACAGUCAGAAAUGGCUGCUAAUACCGCAUAAGCGCACAGAGCUGCAUGGCUCAGUGUGAAAAACUCCGGUGGUAUAAGAUGGACCCGCGUUGGAUUAGCUGGUUGGUGGGGUAACGGCCCACCAAGGCGACGAUCCAUAGCCGGCCUGAGAGGGUGAACGGCCACAUUGGGACUGAGACACGGCCCAGACUCCUACGGGAGGCAGCAGUGGGGAAUAUUGCACAAUGGGGGAAACCCUGAUGCAGCGACGCCGCGUGAAGGAAGAAGUAUCUCGGUAGGUAAACUUCUAUCAGCAGGGAAGAUAAUGACGGUACCUGACUAAGAAGCCCCGGCUAACUACGU
rnacentral:rRNA from 1 species